GUCUAUAUACAUCCAUAUGUAGUUCACUAGUGAAAUCUCUUUAAAGACUUAUAUUUAGGAACGGAGGGAGUACAAGGCAAGCAAUUGAACUACGGAAUUUUUUCAUAGUUGUAAGCAAGUAAUUUAAUCUUUGCAUUUGAAGCACCAAAAAGGAGUAUUGCCUCCGUUCCAAAACAGAUAAUUUUCUAGAAAGCGUGCCUUUAAACUUUGCUUUAGCUUUUACUAAAUAUUCAGAAAGAUUAUCAAGGUUAGCCAAUCAAACUAGUAUCAUGCGGUUUUUUGUGCAAAACACAUUUCAUACCUCUGUAAUGAAUUUGUUCUUUGUACUAAUGCAUUUGUAUAAAAAGAUAACUAUCGAUGCCAUGUCUUGGAGAUCAUUUGAGAUCGUUGCCCGAGUUUCUUCUGAAGCUGUAUUUGAAGCUAAAAGGAUGGAGCUUCUAUUUCGUUCGUUGAUUGACAUUUUAUUCCCGCACCAUCAGAAAUGCAGGCCGAAGCGAUGGCAUGAAUGAUUGAUGUAAUUGCAUCUCAAUAAGAACUAUUUGGUGCAUAGUAUUCAGAGUGAUGGUUUUGAUAUUGGACAUUUGAAUAAAUAAUCUAAUGGAGACUACUUUUUAUAUUAUAAAAGCUGAAACUAGCAUUGGAUAAAAGUUGGACACAUGCAGAGAGUUGCUUUGUGGAGUAAUCACCGGUGUCAAGCUUCCAUAAGUGGGCUGUUGUCAUGACCUUAAUAGUACAAAGCUUCGCUUUGUAUAAAUUCUGCUGUUCUUUCGAGAGCACAGGGAAAUGUAUGAGGUGCACCAAUUUUCCUAUUUUGUUGUUGCUUGUGUAUUCAAGUGUAUGUGGGCUUAACAUUGAUCACUAUUUGAACCAGGAGCUUUCCCUUGUUAGGAAUAUAAGAUGAAGCUGCCUCAUUGCCUUGAUCCUUUGGAAGAAACACAUACAAGAUGACCAAGAACCAUGAAGUUGGCAGUUUGCGUUAUAACUGUGUAAGGGAGCAUACUAUGAAUCGUGUGACAUGCAUCUAUUAUCUAUCAUUGUGUAAACAUAUAUGGUGUCUCGGUCAACUGGAUAUUCUGUGUAGUGGAGCAAACAUGAUUCGUAGGACAUGCAUCUACUAGCUAUCAUUUUGUAAACCCAUCUGGUGUUUCGGUCACUGAACCAUAAAUGUUUUGUUAAUUGGUUACCUCCUUCAUUUGUGAGAAUUAAUUAAUGUGCUAUUUUCAUUUA